rnacentral:rRNA from 1 species
CUGGCGAAGACUACAGGAUUCCCCUAGUAACUGCGAGUGAAGAGGGAAAAGCUCAAAUUUGAAAUCUCACUGGUUUACCAGUGCGAAUUGUAGUUUAGAGAAGUGUUUUCGGGGGCAGCUCGGGUAUAAGUCCUUUGGAAUGAGGCGUCAUAGAGGGUGAGAAUCCCGUAUAUGAUCCGAUGUCUGCUCCUAUGUGAUACACUUUCCAAGAGUCAGGUAGUUUGGGAUUGCUGCCUAAAAUGGGUGGUAAAUACCAUCUAAAGCUAAAUAUUGGCGAGAGACCGAUAGCGAACAAGUACCGUGAGGGAAAGAUGAAAAGAACUUUGAAAAGAGAGUUAAACAGUACGUGAAAUUGCCAAAAGGGAAACGCUUGUAACCAGUAUUGUGUGCAGGUAAUCAACUUUACUUACCGAAAGGGACAGUGGAGUGCACUUGCCUGUACACAAGUCAGCAUCAGUUUGAACUCGAGGGAAAUGUCCAUAGGAAGGUGACUUGGAUUCGUUCAAGUGUUAUAGCCUGUGGUCGAGCCUUGAUUUAGACUGAGGUCUAUAGUGUUAUUUGGGUUGCUGGUCGCCUGUUGAAACUUGGCUGCAGACAGCUUGCUGACUGUGAUCAAACGUAGAUAGCCCGGCUAGUGUAUCACACCAACACUUUGGAUGCUGACGAAAUGGUUCCAAACGACCCGUCUUGAAACACGGACCAAGGAGUCUAACAUAUAUGCGAGUAUUUGGGUUGCAAACCCUUAUGCGGAAUGAAAGUGAAAAUAAUGGGAUCUUCGGUGCACCAUUGACCGGUCUGGAUUUUUUUGAUGGACCUGAGUAAGAGCAUAUCUGUUGGGACCCGAAAGAUGGUGAACUAUGCCUGAAUAGGGUGAAGCCAGAGGAAACUCUGGUGGAGGCUCGUAGCGAUUCUGACGUGCAAAUCGAUCGUCAAAUUUGGGUAUAGGGGCGAAAGACUAUCGACC